AGGUUGAAUUAUUCUCAUGAACAACCUCAAAAUGUAUUUAUUUUCAGUGUGAACAAUUGAGACAUACAGAAAAUGUAAUUUCAUCACUGCAAAGUCUGAAUCAUGGCACGUGAUGAGACAUUCUGCUCUACAUCCAGGCCUGUGUUUGAUAGCCCACCCAUCCGACGGCUGCCAGCUCUGUAAACAUUUACUCAUGCUAUUAACACAGACCACUGAAUUCAGCACUGUCUGACCACAUAUUACAUAGCAGCUAUAGUUAGAAUAUAAUGUCUGACUUGUACCACUGCUGGGAAGCAUUGUAACAUACACAACCCGUUCAUGACUCAUUGUAAACAACACGGAAACAAAUAUACAACAGGGACGGGACAUAUUAAGGCUCUUUGAUACAUGAACCGGGCUCCAUGUCAAAUAAAACCUCCGUUUACAGAUCCAAGAACUGAGAACACACUGGCUGCUGUCCCAUUCCCAUGUGUUGAGCACAAAAUAAGCUGUGAGAUAUGUUUAGGAUGUGGAUUAUAAUGCUGUGAUAAUUACAGGAAUCUGCAGGCGGAUGACGGCACAUCUCAGUCACUUCAUAGUUUGCUUCUAUGUCUAAAUUAAGAUCUGAUGAGUCAGAGAGACUGUUAGAGGAGACCUGUUAACAUCGAAAGUGUGUCCGCCAGGGUUGACUGCAGUGGCCUUCAGAGUGGGCACAGGGUUUUUUGAUGGGAUUUACAGUGAACUGCAGGUGCCGUGGCCCUGGGGGCUGUAUGGUACUAUUGUGAGAGGAACAAUGGCGCAGAAAAGCUUGGGAACCGCUGCUUUGCUUUGUUCUCGUGUAUUGUCUGUUCCCAGGAUGUCCUUCAGGAAAAUGACAAAAAAGGUCAAGCAACUGACACUCUACAUUACCUUCCCAAGACGAUGAAAUGAUUGGCAGGGGAAGACAAAGGAAUAUCUUGAUUGUUUAAUCUCAAGAUUUAUGAACGGAAAUGAUGCUUUUCACUCGUCAAAGCUAUUUAUGACUGUGACCGUUGCAUGUUGAGGAAGGCAAUUACAACAGGAUGUGACCCGUGUCCACGUUUACAGUUCUCAAAGCAGGGCAGAGAGAAGCUCAAAUGAAUCAAAACAGUCCUCCCCAGUAACAAGUGCCUGAAACCAAAGCGCAGAGACUGGGACUGGGGUCAGAGCGCUAUGACCUUUAGCUUAUUUGCACAUUGCUGUAGACCAAAAGAUGGCAGUCCCUUAUUCAAGCACAAGUCAUAAAACUGAAGGGCAAAACAAACAUGAAAAGUUGUGGGCGACUGACCUUGCCAAACAUUUAGGGAGAGACAGCUGGAACACUACUUGAUGUCGUUUCAACAAAACCCCUUUAAUUAGAAAAUAGCAGCCUAAGAAACUGGAUGGGGACAUGGAACGUGAGCUUCGUUUUGUUUGAGGUCUUACGGGUUUGAGACAACAUGAGGGUAAGUUAUUAAUUACAUACAUUUUGAUAUCUGGGUGAACUAACCCUUUAAACAUUUCCUCAUCGUGCAUUUAUUUUUGUAUAUUAAGUAGCACUAGGUUUCCAUUCAUAAUUGUAAGGAAGGCUAACACGACAAAAGCAUAAUACCUUAGUGGAAAUUGAUGCAUCGGCGCCAAAGGCUGAUGGGAAUGCUGGGAUACGCACCUUCGUCUGAGCUCUUGUUUGUGUCUGGCUAUCAUCAGUAUCAUUACAGUGCAGAUCUGGGUGUGGUUGGCAGGAAGAGACUCGGCCCAGUGUACCCAAAACAAAGACUGGAGCAGCGAACCCUCAGCUUCAGCAACUUCAAAGCUGAAAUCUGUGCGGUUGAUGGGUUAUUCCAAAACAUUUUCUUCUGCAUGCUUAAAAAUAAAGCUUCUUAAUGAGAGGUUUAACAGUCGUGCUGUAGAAGAGCCAUUUCUUCUUGGUGUGAAGAACACGUCAGAACCUUUCCAUGGAUGUUAAAAGGUCUUCAUGGAGCUACCCAUGAAGACGACA